rnacentral:rRNA from 1 species
AGCGAACGCUGGCGGCAGGCUUAACACAUGCAAGUCGAACGGAGUGCUUCGGCACUUAGUGGCGGACGGGUGAGUAACACGUGGGAACGUGCCCUUGGGUACGGGAUAACGCAGGGAAACUUGCGCUAAUACCGUAUGUGCCGGAAACGGAAAAGAUUUAUCGCCCUUGGAGCGGCCCGCGUCUGAUUAGCUAGUUGGUGGGGUAAAGGCCCACCAAGGCGACGAUCAGUAGCUGGUCUGAGAGGAUGGCCAGCCACAUUGGGACUGAGACACGGCC